rnacentral:rRNA from 1 species
AUUGAACGCUGGCGGCAGGCCUAACACAUGCAAGUCGAACGAGUGGCGGACGGGUGAGUAAUGUCUGGGAAACUGCCCGAUUGAGGGGGAUAACUACUGGAAACGGUAGCUAAUACCGCAUACCAUCGGAUGUGCCCCGAUGGGAUUAGCUAGUAGGGGGGGUAAUGGCUCACCUCGGCGACGAUCCCUAGCUGGUCUGAGAGGAUGACCAGCAACACUGGAACUGAGACACGGUCCAGACGCCGACGGGAGGCAGCAGUGGGGAAUAUUGGACAAUGGGCGCAAGCCUGAUGCAGCCAUGCCGCGUGUAUGAAGAAGGCCUUCGGGUUGUAAAGUACUGUCAGCGAGGAGGCGUUACUCGAAGAAGAAGCACCGGCUAACUACGGGCCAGCAGCCGCGGUAAUAC